GCUGCCAGUGUCUUAGAUCUUAAUUCCACGACAUGAUGCAUCAAGAAAAGAUUCUCCCUUGAACCAUAAACCAACAAUUUUAUUUUUUUGGUAAAUAACCAACAAUUGUAUUGACGGACUAUGUUACCACACCAUGUGAAUCUACUCCACCAGCCAAAAGUAGCGAGUACAAAUUAAACAGAGAAAUACCCAUAAGCCUUGGUUCAUGGUCGGGAAACUAUCUAAAUAGGUUGUCUCUUCGCUGAGCGAGUUUCAGGAAAUGAAUAUUGUGGAAUCUACUCCACCAGCCAAAAGUAGCGAGUACAAAUUAAACAGAGAAAUACCCAUAAGCCUUGGUUCAUGGUCGGGAAACUAUCUAAAUAGGUUGUCUCUUCGCUGAGCGAGUUUCAGGAAAUGAAUAUUGUGGUCGUGAAGAGUAGCGUCGAUCACC
rnacentral:lncRNA from 1 species